UUAAGGAAACUGUGGGACGGCAUUUAAAACUCCUUACGUACAGCUGCAACCGAAACCAUUGGUUUUCGGAAAGUACAAAAGAGCAGCUGGUACAACGAGGUGUGCCGUGUUGCAACGGAGAGAAAACAGGCUGCCUACCUCGCAACGUUACGAUCGACCACAACACGACUUAAAUAUAUCUAUGGAACUAUGGACGAAGAAGAUCGUGUGGAUAUUGAAGGAAAAUUAAAUAUUAAUACUCAAAAUGCACAAGAUGCACAUAAUGCAAUUGAACAAAUUAAUAAACAACAAAAUAUUAAUGAAAAAUUUGGCAAUUAAAUAGAAACUAUAACUAGUAAUUUAAACACUCAUUACAAAGAAUUUGUUGAAAAUAUGAACAGUAUCAACUCAGAACUUAAAGCUGUAUCGACAAAAAAGGCAAUAAAUUAUUAGAAAAUUUAAUGUAUAUCAAAACAAAUGUAAUAAGAAUAAAAGAAAUCAUAAUGACUAGCCAAUUAAAUAAAGAUAUUAUUAGAGAUGAAGAUGUAACUAAUUUUAAUGUAACUUUCGAAAAACUUAAAGAAAUAAAAAUUAUAAUAUUUGCUAAAGACGAAAAUAUUGUAAUAUUAGUAAAGUUACCUCAAUCUGGAAAAUAAAUAUAUCAAACAAUUCAUGUACAACCAAUACCAAAUGCAAGAUAAAUGGAAGUUUGUAUUAAAGAAAACGAGAUAUUGUUCAUUAAUGAAAUAACUUAUAAGAAACCAAAGUUUAAGGAAGAUUUACAACAAUAUGAAGAUAAGCGUAUUAAAAUCUUUUUAAAUGAAAAAUUCACUGUAAUUAUGUAAAAAACAAUAAAACCUGGUUAAAUGAG